AUAGCCUUUCGAAAGGAAGAUUAAUACCCCAUAAUAUAUUUGAUGGCAUCAUUAAAUAUUGAAAACUCAGGUGGAUAAAGAUGGGCACGCGCAAGAUUAGAUAGUUGGUAGGGUAACGGCCUACCAAGUCUACGAUCUUUAGGGGCCUGAGAGGGUGAUCCCCCCACACUGGUACUGAGACACGGACCAGACUCCUACGGGAGGCAGCAGUGAGGAAUAUUGGACAAUGGGUGCAAGCCUGAUCCAGCCAUCCCGCGUGAAGGAAUAAGGACCUAUGGUUUGUAAACUUCUUUUAUACUGGGAUAAACCUACCCUCGUGAGGGUAGCUGAAGGUACAGUAUGAAUAAGCACCGGCUAACUCCGUG
rnacentral:rRNA from 1 species